GGCUUCUGAUUGCUAUUGCACCACAUGUGUUUUUCUUUGAAACAAACUUGCUUUGGCGGUGGGCCCAGCCUGCCGCCAGAGGUCUAAACUUACAACCAAUUUUUUAUCAACUUGUCACACCAGAUUAUUACUAAUAGUCAAAACUUUCAACAACGGAUCUCUUGGUUCUCGCAUCGAUGAAGAACGCAGCGAAAUGCGAUACGUAAUAUGAAUUGCAGAUAUUCGUGAAUCAUCGAAUCUUUGAACGCACAUUGCGCCCUCUGGUAUUCCGGAGGGCAUGCCUGUUUGAGCGUCGUUUCUCCCUCAAACCGCUGGGUUUGGUGUUGAGCAAUACGACUUGGGUUUGCUUGAAAGACGGUAGUGGUAAGGCGGGAUCGCUUUGACAAUGGCUUAGGUCUAACCAAAAACAUUGCUUGCGGCGGUAACGUCUACCACGUAUAUCUUCAAACUUUGACCUCAAAUCAGGUAGGACUACCCGCUGAACUUAAGCAUAUCAAUAAGCGGAGGAA
rnacentral:rRNA from 1 species